GAUGAAGAACGUAGCAAAAUGCGAUAAGUAAUGUGAAUUGCAGAAUUCAGUGAAUCAUCGAAUCUUUGAACGCACAUUGCGCCCGCUGGUUUUCCGGCGGGCAUGCCUGUUCGAGCGUCAUUUCAACCCUCAAGCCCCCGGGUUUGGUGUUGGGGAUCGGCUCUGCCCUUCUGGGCGGUGCCGCCCCCGAAAUACAUUGGCGGUCUCGCUGCAGCCUCCAUUGCGUAGUAGCUAACACCUCGCAACUGGAACGCGGCGCGGCCAUGCCGUAAAACCCCAACUUCUGAAUGUUGACCUCGGAUCAGGUAGGAAUACCCGCUGAACUUAAGCAUAUCAAUAAGCGGAGGA
rnacentral:misc_RNA from 1 species